rnacentral:misc_RNA from 1 species
GAUGAAGAACGUAGCAAAAUGCGAUAAGUAAUGUGAAUUGCAGAAUUCAGUGAAUCAUCGAAUCUUUGAACGCACCUUGCGCUCUUUGGUAUUCCGAAGAGCAUGCCUGUUUGAGUGUCAUGAAAAUAUCAACCUUGACUUGGGUUUUGUGCUCUAGUCUCGGCUUGGAAUUGGGUGCUUGCCGCUUUAACGAGCGGCUCACCUUAAAUGUAUUAGCUGGAUCUGUCUUUGAGACUUGGUUUGACUUGGCGUAAUAAGUAUUUCGCUAAGGACAUUCUUCGGAGUGGCCUCGUUUCUAGGACGCUUGUCCGCUUUCCAAUACAAGUUCCACCUCGUGGACAUGACUUUUUAUUAUCUGGCCUCAAAUCAGGUAGGACUACCCGCUGAACUUAAGCAUAUCAAUAAGCGGAGGA